rnacentral:pre_miRNA from 1 species
AAAAUACUCCCUCCGUAACAAAAUAUAAGCAAAAAUGAGUCAGAAGAUUGAUGUAUUUGGUGUAAAAUUUAGACCAGAUACAUCAACUUUCGUUGACUCAUUGUUGCUUAUAUUUUGUUAUGGAGGGAGUAUUAA